UACGUAGGGUGCAAGCGUUAUCCGGAAUUAUUGGGCGUAAAGAGCUCGUAGGCGGUUUGUCGCGUCUGCUGUGAAAAUCCGGGGCUCAACCCCGGACUUGCAGUGGGUACGGGCAGACUAGAGUGUGGUAGGGGAGACUGGAAUUCCUGGUGUAGCGGUGAAAUGCGCAAAUAUCAGGAGGAACACCGAUGGCGAAGGCAGGUCUCUGGGCCACUAC
rnacentral:rRNA from 1 species